UACGGAGGGUGCAAGCGUUAUCCGGAUUCACUGGGUUUAAAGGGUGCGUAGGUGGGUUGGUAAGUCAGUGGUGAAAUCUCCGAGCUUAACUUGGAAAUUGCCAUUGAUACUAUCAGUCUUGAAUAUUGUGGAGGUUAGCGGAAUAUGUCAUGUAGCGGUGAAAUGCUUAGAUAUGACAUAGAACACCAAUUGCGAAGGCAGCUCACUACUCAAUCAUUGACUCUGAGGCACGAAAGCGUGGGGAUCAAACAGG
rnacentral:rRNA from 1 species